GAUGAACGCUGGCGGCGUGCUUAACACAUGCAAGUCGAACGGAAAGGCUCCUGCUUGCAGGGGUACUCGAGUGGCGAACGGGUGAGUAACACGUGGGUGAUCUGCCCUGCACUUCGGGAUAAGCCUGGGAAACUGGGUCUAAUACCGGAUAGGACGAUGGUUUGGAUGCCAUUGUGGAAAGUUUUUCGGUGUGGGAUGAGCUCGCGGCCUAUCAGCUUGUUGGUGGGGUAAUGGCCUACCAAGGCGUCGACGGGUAGCCGGCCUGAGAGGGUGUACGGCCACGUGGGGCCUGAGAUGGGCCCAAGCCUCCAGGGGGGGGCAGGGGGGGGGAUUAUGCCACAAGGGGCGAAACCUGGAUGCGGCGCCGCCGGGGGGGGGAUGACGGCUUUGGGUUUAUAAACUCCUUGCGCAGGGGAGGAAGCGCAAGGGACGGUACCGGGAAAAGAAGCCCCGGCUAAUUACGUG
rnacentral:rRNA from 1 species